rnacentral:sRNA from 1 species
ACUCGAUCAGGUGCUACGUGUAUGUUACGUGGCCCGAUACCUCGCGGC